UUAAGAAUCAGAAUGCUUUAUUAAUCCACAUAACAAUUUGAGCAUGGGCAGCAGGAGUGCAAGUUCCCCUAAAUUAUCCCACCAAUGUUCCUCAACACUAACUUGGAGUGAUACUGUUAGAAAUGAGAGACUAGAUUAGUCAAUGUCGCGCCUCU
rnacentral:sRNA from 1 species